UUACCAAAAUGACAGCCUACCUGUUUUUCUUUGGUUAUGAGGAGGUGGAGGAGCCUAUAGCUGACGUUCCUGCAGGCUCUAACUGAGGCAGAGGAGAGGAUGAAGAGAGCAGAAGAUUUAAAAUGAUGAAGGAGACGGUGACUCAACUUCACUCAUCUGUGUCUUUAAACAAGAAAAACUAAGGAGCCAAAAUGAGGGCAGCAGGAAGGCAUGAAGGCAUGCAGGAACACAGGCUCUGUCUCUGUCCUCCACCUGUGCCUGAGGAAUGCGAGCGCAUCCUGGCCAGCUGUGACAGAGCAGACAGUGCAACCAGGAUGGAUCCUAAGCCAGUUUAUGUGGGCAGGUGGUGGAGCCUGCCUCUUACUGGUCCGCCUUGCUUCUGCCCUACCAGGGGGUGAAUUGCGUGUGCCCCUCUCUCAUUAUCGCCGACUGCUUGUGAUGGUUCCCACAGAUGGCCUGCUGCCUGAAGGUUUCUCUUCUCUGGCUGCAGCAUGAUGUCAGAGUGUGCCGGAUUUCUUUCUAUGGUCAUUUGCUCCAGGCAUCCUACUGUAAAAAGGAGCUUUAUUCUCUGCUACAGUCAUUUCUCAGCAAUGACGGUACAGAGGUGUCAGACGGAAGAACCGGAAACGCUGACUCAUCAAAGCAGAUUUUUUGGGAGAGGGGCUGCUUGAAGAGAGAGGCACUAAAACAGAGCAUCUCAGACAGAGAAUGAAUACAGGUGUUGAAGCACAGACAGUAUGAGGAAAAUAAAGUGGGGUUUUUUUGACCAUUAGAACAAAUAAACACCUUCUGGUAAAAACAAACGAUACAAGCAUAAUAGGUCCUAUUUAAUGUUUGCAUUAGGAAAAUGUAAGUAAAUCCAUAGACUAUUGUCAGAUUGAAAGAUCUGAGGCAACUGAAGCCACAAAUACACAACCAGAGGCCAAACUGAAUUAUAUGUUAGCUAGAGAUAGCGGUCAUCAGCUACACAUUCUUUGUGCUGCGUAUAUCCGCUGUAGCACAAGACCACAGAGCAAAAAUAGAUUCUUUUCACUGCUCAUCUUUGAAUUCCUGGAUAUGAUGGUGUGCUUCAUUGUAAAAGAUGAUAUCAGUAAAAUGUUUUUAUCGUGUGUGUUUAAAGUGAAAGAUAAUACGCAUUAACCCGGUUUACAUUGUUCUGUUUGUAAUAAAACUAUCACUUAUUCAUCUCUAAAGUACACUUUUUUGAGGCUGUAGUUUGUGGUGUGUUGGUUGCAUUAUAUUGUAAACACUGCCUUGUAUUUGUUCACACUUAAAUGACCAUAUAGUUGGAUCAAUGCCUCUCUUGCAAAGUCUCAGCAACACUGGUAUACUAUGAGCUUCACAGAUUUAUUACUGGAUUGUACUGUAGUGGUAUCUGUGGUAUCACUGUUGCUCAAAUUAGGUUCACCACCUGUAUCUGUUACUGGUGCCUUUCAACGCCUCUGGUAAUCAACAUGUUUGUUUGAUUCAGCAGCGGUCUGACACAACAGCAGUUUAAAACUUUGAAGUUUAGCGACAGUGAGAUUAUGCUGUGGGAAAUGUCUGUCAUUUCUCUGUUUAAACCAUUUCCCUGAAGACAAAACAGAAGAGGAACGUUCUGAAUUCAAACACAUGCUGAUUGCAUGAUACUUUUAUUUUAAACUUUAGUUUCACAUUCCAGCUGGAUUGUCCACACCUUAGAGAUACUUUCAGCCAGCAAAAACAAAACAAAACAAAACAAAACAAAAAAAACAUUUUGUAUUUUGUAGCUUCUGCGACUCUAUUUUCAGUGUAAUGUCAGAGGAACACAAACUUGGGGACUCAUCAUUCUAACCUCCUGCACUUUUUAUAAAAUGAGUGUUGUUGUUAACAACAGGGUUACAGUGCCUCUAGUCUGGCUCACAGAAUGUAGACUGUGGGUAUAAAGCCUGUCAUUGGAUGCCUAUCUCAGACGGUAACAUGCUACACAACAACUCCUGAACUAGCAACCUACAUUCUAAAACGUCUUUGAGUGUUUUAUGUUUUAAUGCCAGGGCUCACCUCUCCACCGAUACAAUUUCCCUCCCAACACUAUUUUGCAAGAGCACUAUUGCUGCAUCCUAGGCGUAGCUCCGCCCAAGACAUUGUGAUUGGUUUAAAGAAAUACAAACAAUGACUGUUUUUUUUCCCUUAGUGCAGAAUUAUGAUGACUACUACUAUGAUGGUACUGGAAGUGUGCACUGCGCAGUUGUAAUGUGUAGCGCAAAUAUCGGUAUAUAUGUAUAUGUUUUGUUUUUGUUUUUUUUAAAUAAACAGCAAAGGAACAAGCAUUACUAAUUAGCUUAGGCUGUUAUUAAUAAUAUUAGCAAUAGAAAUAGUCCAUUCAGUGAAUAUACUUAUGCAUCUGCCCUAUAAACACAAACAAACCAAAAUUCCUUUGUUUACUUUGUAUCAUCAUUACAAUGAUUGUAUGAUCCAACUAAUAGGGAAAGGGGAACACCACCUAAAUUAAGGAUUACAAUAUGUUAUUUUCAUAGCCUAGGAAAGUUUAAUGAAUAUUUGUGAACAUGAGCUUCUCUCUAUCAAAGCCAGAAACCAGAGAAGUAAGUCCCAAACAUGUGAUGUCAUAGGGUAUAAAGUCUGGAGCUGCUCCAUGGACAAUAAAUGGGAGCCUGAUCUUGUGCACCCACAAAAUGUUUGUUUUCUUGUUUUAUACCCAAAUGAGCUUUGUUCCAUUGUAGUGUUCUCCGUACUAAAACAAAAAUUGUACCCAUAUACUCAGAAUUUCCUUCAUCUCAAGUGCCAUCAAUAUUCUUAACUCAACAAAGUGACUGUUUUAAACCAUAGACAGACUAUGAGCUAAAAGUGUUUUGUAUGUUUGUUUUACUGACUAUUUGUCUGCUUUUUACUAUGUUGUCUGUUGUGUCUGGUGAGCCUAAGAGAAAUUUCCACCCCUGGUGGACAAUAAGAUCUCUAGUCCAGUCCAGUCCAGUCCAGUCCAGUCUAGUCCACCAUUCAUUGUCUAUGGAGCAGCUCUAGACUGUAUACCCUAUGACAUCAGAAAUUUGAGUUUUGGCACUCUAGUUUUUGCAUUUAGGAGACUUGUUCAUUUUUACUAAUAUUUUUGGACUGUCUUAGACCAUAGGAAUGACAUGUAUGAAUCAUAUGAAAAUAGGCGUAUUUCCCCUUAAAUGAAAUCACAAUUGCUCCUUGUUUUACAAUGUUCAGUGUUAAGUGAAGAUCGUGGCUCUUCUACUGGAAAUUUGCUCUCCUGUUGCCUUUCAAUUAGCGCAGAUUACCGCCUCAACAACAAAACAAAACAAGUGAUUUGUCCACUGAUUUGUGUAACUGCCUCAAUUAUAUCUUUAUGACCUAAAUGGGAAAGAAGAGGAGAGCUCUGAGGCAAAAUAACCCAUGUAUCAAAACAUUAAUUCCUUGGAGGGUAGAGCCCAUUCUUCUCAUGGCGUUAACAGCAACUAAUUAAAUAACUUUUCAUUUGUGUUAUGGCUUUAGUGUAACCACAGCAAACAAAGCAUUCAGACUGAUUUAAUAAAAAACCAUUACUUUUAAGCCCUAUGACAAUACACUAAGUAUUGCAAAGUCAAUGAAUGGAGCUUGAGGGCUAUAAAAAUCUAUCAUUUGAAAUACUUGGACAAGAAACACUCACUCAUGGUCAAUAAAGAAGCCACAGAGGAGAUGGUCGAACCCUAGCAAUACAGCAGUCUAUCCUUGGGAGUGUGUGCAUAUGAACGAGAAAAACUAAGCCUUUCAUGUUUAAUGGAUACCCUGUCAGACAGAGACAGGAAGGGAGAAAUGAUGAGAGACUAUGCAUAUGUGUGAGAGAGAAUGAGGCAGAAACAGCAACACAUGCACUCACAUAAAAACACACAUACACUAUGAAGUAACAAAGAGGCCUUAUAACCAGAUUUCACUCUUUC